rnacentral:lncRNA from 1 species
CUCACACACCCAAAUGCUCACAAUGCAGAAGGGACUUUGACCCCUGAUGUACAGGCUCAAAGGAAACUCUGACACAUUGAAGCCUUAUUAAAAAAAAAAAGUGCGCAAAUUACCUUUUUGCUAUUGAUCACCCAAACUUGGGCGCUGCUGAAGGAACAUCUCGUGGCGUCUCCGUGGCAGCGAGACUCACUUUCCUGAGUUUCUCCAGCACCGGCCCCUACAGGACGUGUGAGGGUCAGUGACAGUCGCAGUGUACAUCGGUGUCUUUCUGCAAUGUACUGAAACAUGGGGUUCUGUUCCACAUGAAUAUUAUUUCAUUGUUUCUCUUGUUUUCAUAACAUAAAGUGCAUGAACUCUUGCCUCAUUUGAAACAUCUGUUUAGUCCUUUUGAUGUUUUUUAGUCUAUUAAAAAUGCUCGUCUCUUCUACACUACCAAUUCUUUACAAUAGAUAACUAUUCAAAAUUUAAAUUUUUAGCCUUGAAAAGAAUAUUUUUACAUUACCAUAU